rnacentral:rRNA from 1 species
GUCCUUAGUUACCAGCACGUUAUGGUGGGCACUCUAAGGAGACUGCCGGUGACAACCGGAGGAAGGUGGGGAUGACGUCAAGUCAUCAUGGCCCUUACGGCCUGGGCUACACACGUGCUACAAUGGUCGGUACAAAGGGUCGCCAAGCCGCGAGGUGGAGCUAAUCCCAUAAAACCGAUCGUAGUCCGGAUCGCAGUCUGCAACUCGACUGCGUGAAGUCGGAAUCGCUAGUAAUCGUGAAUCAGAAUGUCACGGUGAAUACGUUCCCGGGCCUU